UAGGGAAUCUUCCGCAAUGGACGCAAGUCUGACGGAGCAACGCCGCGUGAGUGAAGAAGGAUUUCGGUUCGUAAAACUCUGUUGUUAGAGAAGAACAGCGCAUAGAGUAACUGUUAUGCGUGUGACGGUAUCUAACCAGAAAGCCCCGGCUAACUACGUGCCAGCAGCCGCGGUAAUACGUAGGUGGCAAGCGUUGUCCGGAUUUAUUGGGCGUAAAGCGAGCGCAGGCGGUCAAUUAAGUCUGAUGUGAAAGCCCCCGGCUCAACCGGGGAGGGUCAUUGGAAACUGGUUGACUUGAGUGCAGAAGAGGAGAGUGGAAUUCCAUGUGUAGCGGUGAAAUGCGUAGAUAUAUGGAGGAACACCAGUGGCGAAGGCGACUCUCUGGUCUGUAACUGACGCUGAGGCUCGAAAGCGUGGGUAGCAAACAGG
rnacentral:rRNA from 1 species